rnacentral:rRNA from 1 species
CAGUCGCAUCCUUCAGAAAUCAACCCGACUUAGGUCUCGUGCACUUUCUGUUUGGAUGGGUCAGCAUCAAUUUCGACCGAGGGAAAAAGACUUAGGGGAAUGUGGCUGUCUUCGGGCAGUGCUAUAGACCCUUGUUGUAUGCCUCGGUUGGGAUUGAGGAACGCAGCGCGCCUUUUGGCCGGGGUUCGCGCCCUCGGUACGCGCUUAGGAUGCUGGCAUAAUGGCUUUAANCGACCCGUCUUGAAACACGGACCAAGGAGUCUAACAUAUAU